UUGGUUCCUAAUCGACAGACCUGUGAACAUGUUAUCCUUGAUCUCCCAUGCGGAGGGGAGCAYGUUUGCCGUCUCGGCAUGGUGCUCCUCUCUGCUGUUGGCUAUGUGUUUGCUCUUGCCGUCAUCUCUUUAAAGGAUUGGUAGCUUCAGCAAGUCCGUAGGCCAAAAACAAACAAACAAUCGGCACCUCUAGGUGCCAAGGAAAACCUUUGAUCGAAAGGAGAGGGCGUGCCRCCACACGAAAGAGUGGCGGGAUGUCCCUCUUCCCUUCUAAUAUAAC
rnacentral:misc_RNA from 1 species